rnacentral:tRNA from 1 species
CGGGCUGUAGCGCAGUCUGGUAGCGCACUUGUAUGGGGUGCAAGUGGUCGCUGGUUCGAAUCCAGUCAGCCCGACCA